rnacentral:lncRNA from 1 species
UUAGUGGGAGGAAGCUGUCAUAUCAUAUAUGAGCUGUAACCCUUUUUUCCAUUCACAGAUCAUAAUGGUUUGGUUCUUAUAUAUGCCUAAAACCAUAGCCGUCUUAUGCUUUUGCACAAUGUCAAAGCUCAAAACUUAAUUCUUUGCAUGUUUUAUGUUUGAUUUGGAAAAUAUGGGUCCCUAUUUUAAUUAGCUACUCCAUCCAUUAUUCACAUCCACCACUAUCUGAUUAACUUCCAAUAUUUUGUUCUUCUUUACAGACUUUCCUCUCCACUGGCAUAACCAAUACUACUAAAUAAUAAUAAUCUGUCUUUGCUUUUACUAAUUAGUGGUAACGGAGAUGAAGCCUACAACACCGACUGAAGAUAUUGAUCAUGUUGUUGGCUGAUGGGAUUUCAUGGUCACCAAAGGCUAUCGUUGUUGGGGAGGGUGCGAGAAAGGUGCAAGCCCUCUUGCAGCUGCGUUCAUGGUGGUUGGAGCGGUUAUGGUUUUCAUGGAUCACGGUGCUUGGAAAUUUUCUGGGUUUGAUUUGAAAUCGAAGCUAUGAAAGUCAUUCUCCUUGUUAUUAGUUACAAUUGUGAGAUGAUGCUACAAUGGAUUUGAGGAGGAUAUUAAGGCUCCAUUUGUAGCGAUCGCGAAGAAUCGGGGGCUAAUGCUAGGACGUUGCUGAUCACUCGAUCAGGUUCUCUAAUUCCCGAUCAUCUCUUAUGUUUUCAAUGGGAAAGAUCCAAAUAGCUGACUCAAAAUAGUGGGUUUUAAGUUUUUUUUUUUUUUAAAUCAAAGUUGCUCGCUGUAUAGCUUUGUCUAGAUUUAAUUAGACUUAGCUAUUAAGUUUGUAUCAAAAAAAUAAAGAGAAAUUAUUUUUGCUUAGCUAACAAUUAAAACAAAUAAAUAUUAUUAAUAAGGG